CCUACGGGCGGCAGCAGUGAGGAAUAUUGGUCAAUGGGCGCGAGCCUGAACCAGCCAAGUCGCGUGAGGGAAGACGGUCCUAUGGAUUGUAAACCUCUUUUGUCGGGGAGCAAAAGACGCCACGCGUGGCGUUCCGAGAGUACCCGAAGAAAAAGCAUCGGCUAACUCCGUGCCAGCAGCCGCGGUAAUACGGAGGAUGCGAGCGUUAUCCGGAUUUAUUGGGUUUAAGGGGUGCGCAGGCGGAAGAUCAAGUCAGCGGGAAAAUUGAGAGGCUCAACCUCUUCGAGCCGUUGAAACUGGUUUUCUUGAGUGAGUGAGAAGUAUGCGGAAUGCGUGGUGUAGCGGUGAAAUGCAUAGAUAUCACGCAGAACUCCGAUUGCGAAGGCAGCAUACCGGCGCUCAACUGACGCUCAUGCACGAAAGUGUGGGUAUCGAACAGGAUUAGAUACCCGGGUAGUC
rnacentral:rRNA from 1 species